ACGGUCAUAUGUUGAAACACCUGUUCCUGUCCGAUCACCAAAGUUAAGCAAAGUCGAGCCUGGCCAGUACUAGAUGGCUGACAGCUUGAGAAUACCAGGUACUGUAA